rnacentral:rRNA from 1 species
CCUACGGGAGGCAGCAGUGGGGAAUAUUGCACAAUGGGCGGAACCCUGAUGCAGCAAUGCCGCGUGAAGGAUGAAGGCUUUCGGGUUGUAAACUUCUUUUGUACGGGAAGAGGAGAAUGCCGGUCCUGUCAGAUUAAGCACCGGCUAACUACGUGCCAGCAGCCGCGGUAAUACGUAGGUGGCAAGCGUUAUCCGGAUUUACUGGGUGUAAAGGGGGAGUAGGCGGGAUGCCAAGUCAGAUGUGAAAACUAUGGGCUCAACCGCAAGAGUGCAUUUGAAACUGUAGUUCUUGAGUGAUGGAGAGGCAGGCGGAAUUCCCGGUGUAGCGGUGGAAUGCGUAGAUAUCGGGAGGAACACCAGUGGCGAAGGCGGCCUGCUGGACAGUAACUGACGCUGAGGCGCGAAAGCGUGGGGAGCAAACAGGAUUAGAUACCCCUGUAGUC